rnacentral:lncRNA from 1 species
AUGUUAGAAAUAGCAGAUGCAAGCUCCAAUGCAGUUGUAACACCAGAAAGUUCUGUGAUCUGUUGUCAUCUUGGCACUAAUUUGGAGGGGAAAAAAAAGGCAAAGAAAGCAUCUUACACAGUGAGAGAAUCCAUUGUUGAUGAGAACCUGUUUCAGUCGAAAUCUGAAGGUAACUGCAGUAUCUGGAUAGAUGAGAGCUGAGCAAUACCUGAUCUGGACAGGUUGAAUAGCUGGGCAAUCACCAACCGUAUGAAGUUUAACAAGAGCAAGUGUCACGUGCUGCACCUGGGAAGGGGCAACCCUGGCUAUACGUACAGAUUGGGUGAAGAGAGGGAUCUGGGGGGCUGUAUCUGGGGGAGAGCAAGCUGAAUAUAAGCCAGCAGUGUGCCCUGGCAGCCAGGAGGGCCAACUGUAUCCUGGGGUGCAUCAAGCAUGGCAUUGCUAGCCAGUUGAGGGAAGUGAUUGUUCCGCUCUAAUCUGCACUGUGCAGACUCACCUUGAGUACUUCAUGCAGUUCUGGGCACCACAGUACAAAAAGAAUGUGAAACUAUCGGAGAGUGUCCAGAGAAAGGCUACAAAGAUGGUGAAGGGCCUAGAGGAGAAGACAUAUGAGGAGCAGAUGAGGUCACUUGGCAUGUUCAGCCUGGAAAAGGUGAGACCCACCUCAGCCAGGCUAAGGUGAGACCCACCUCAGACAGGCUGAGGUGAGACCUCAUCAUGGUCUACAGCUUCCUCACGAUGGGGAGUGGAGGAGCAGAUGCCGAUCUAUGCUCUUUAGUGACCAGCAAUAGGACCCAACGAAUGGAGUCAAGCUGCGACAGGGGAGGUUCAGGUUGGCUAUCAGGAAGAGGGUCUUCACUGAGAGGGUGACUGUGCACUGGAACAAGGUUCCCAGGGAUGUAUUUGUGGCACCAAGCCUGUCAGAGUUUAAGAAGAGUUUGGACUAUGCUCUUAGUCAUAUGUUCUGAAUUUUUGGGUACAUCUUUGUGGAGUCAGGAGUUGGACUCAGUGACCUUUCUGGUUCCCUUCCAAAUUCUAUGAUUCUACGAUUCUGUGAUUUCAUGUUGGUCCUUGGAAAAUUUUCAGUUAAAUUUAGUUGAAAUUUGAAUAAAAUUUGUACUGAUAAGUGCUGUUAUGCUUCC